AAGAAAUUGCGCUAGUGAUGUCUGAUCUUCCCAGGAUUUGAUAGUGUCCUUCAAAUCAACAGAAAACAUCAAAAAGGAUGUAACUUUAUUCAGAGUGUACAGUUCAUCUUUAGCGGAGCUAGAACAUAAACCAUGAGAGGCCGUUAGUACUAAUUUAUUUCUUAAUAUGCUCAUUUUCUUAUUUUAAAUUUCUAAACAUCAAUUAGUAGCGGUUAAUGGAUUUUGCAAUUGAUAGGGGGGCAUAUGGCCCCUUUGGCGUACAUAUAGUAGCCGAGCUUUGGAAAAUGCUAUUUUAAUAGAAAGAAUAGGAGACCAUGUACCAACUAACCGUGUCAAUGUUUUACUUUGAAUGUGGAAUUGCUAUGCUAGAUUUACUUAACCCAGAGGAUAAAAGACUUCUUGAGUCCCUUGCUAUUGAUCUACAAACUCUUCGAGCAGCUACAAAUGACUUCCACAUAGACAACAAGAUUGAAUAAGGAGGUUUUGACACAGUUUAUAAGACUGUCACAGAAUUCAAACUAGUGGAUCAUCGAGUUGAAGAACGAGCUAGUUUUGUUGGCCAAGUUGCAACAUAGGGUACCACCAAAAUAAGAGCCUGCACAACCUCAUCUAUGAUGCGGAGAGACGCACUCGGGUCGAUCCAUUAAUGCUCAUUGAUGGCAUUGCUCGAGGCCUGUAGUACCUUCAUGAAGGUUCACGUGCCAAGAUUGUUCAUUGGGAUUUGAAAGCAACAAAUGUCCUAUUGGACAAUGCAUUGACACCCAAAAUUUCUGAUUUCAGGUUAGCAAGAAUUUUUGGAGGCGACCAAUCGCACGAGGUGACGUGCCAU